rnacentral:rRNA from 1 species
CAGAACGAACGCUGGCGGCAGGUCUUAGGCAUGCAAGUCGAACGGGUGUAGCAAUACAUCAGUGGCGCACGAGUGAGUAACGCGUGGGAAGCUACCCAUCAACUGGGGAAUAACGUUUGGAAACGAACGCUAAUACCGCAUACGCCCGAAAGGGGAAAGAUUUAUCGGGUGAUGGAUGUGCCCGCGUUGGAUUAGCUUGUUGUGGGGUAACGGCCUACCGAGGCGAUGAUCCAUAGCUGGUCUGAGAGGACGAUCAGCCACGCUGGGACUGAGACACGGCCCAGACUCCUACGGGAGGCAGCAGCUAAGAAUAUUGGACAAUUGGGGGGAAACCCUGACCCAGCAACGCCGCGUGAAGGAAGAAGGUUUUCGGAUUGUAAACUUCUGUCCUUGGUGAAGAGAAGAAGACGGUAGCCAAGGAGGAAGCCCCGGCUAACUACGUGCCAGCAGCAGC